CGCAAGAGUGAAACUUAAAGGAAUUGACGGAAAAGCACCACAAUGUGUGGAGCCUGCGGCUUAAUUUAAUUCAACACGGGAAAACUUACCAGGCCAAGACAUAGCAAGGAUUGACAGAUUGAAGUUCUUUCUUGAUUCUAUGCUUAGUGGCGCAUGGCCGUUCUUAGUUGGUGGAGUGAUUUGUCUGGUUAAUUCCGAUAACGAACGAGACCUCAGCCUCCUAUUAGUUGUUGCUAGCUCCUUGUGAUGAUAGUGUACAACUCUUAGAGGGACAAACUGCGUUCAGCAGAAGGAAGAUUGAGGCAAUAACAGGUCAGGGAUGCCCUUAGAAGGUCUGGGCGGCACGCGCGCUACAAUGAUGCACGCAACGAGUACAACCUGGCUCGAGAGAGUCGGGUAAUCAGCAAAGUGCAUCUCAGUGGGGAUAGAUGAUUGCAAUUAUUCAUCUUGAACACGGAAUACCUAGUAAACGCCAGUCAUCAACUGGCAUUGAUUACGUCCCUGCUUUUUGUACACACCGCCCGUCGCUCCUACCGACUGAAUGCUGAGGCGAAUUGAAUGGAUGGUUCUUGAGCCAGAAGUUCUGUAAACCUUAUUAUUUGG
rnacentral:rRNA from 1 species